UCCAUUACACUUGUUUCUCCAUUUCUUUGCAGCUGCCAUCUAUGGUGUUGGCCGCUUAAUGCUUCCUUUCCCUUCACCUAAACGCAUGUGGCUUGGGUUUCUAUUGAUCUUGAGUGCAUCACACAUCAUAUUCAGUCUCUUAAGCAAUCAAAUGAAGCACUAUGUCAUGCUAAAUAAAAGUUUAGGGUCAACCACUGAUUUAAUCAUAUGGUAUAUCACUCCUAGAGGUAACUAAAACGUAAGGAAUAAUUGAGCUUAUGGUAACUGGAUUGUUCAUUGGAAGAUACUUGACUGUUCAUGCUAAUGGUAACUGCAGCGCGUGCAA